AUGCCGGUCAGAAAGAAAUUUAUGAAUUGUUGGAAAAAUAAUUCUAAUGUGAUGUCUCUACCGCUUAGUACCAUAAUUCUGCUCAUAGUUGAAGAAAUAAUGGAGACUGAAUUUAAAUGCCCUCGAUGGACAGCAUUAAAGAAGUUUUACGUUUUUACCUAUUUUUUGUGUCCAGCUUUAAUUACAUGUGCCCUGAGCUUUGCGUCCCAGCCCACCUGCAUUCUCUGGUUUCGCAGCUUUCGGAAAUGUUCGUACCGACAGAAGGGUGAGAUGCUUUGCAUGGUAGUUCUUCCUCCUGUGAUCUGGUGGGUUAUCCUGCUGUGGGACGGCAGAUACGUUGAAUGUAUGGUUUCAAGAAGUGAAGUGGACAGCAACCAAAAUGCAAACCAAACCAGAGCAGCAGAAUCAAGCAUUGAAACCUAUUCAAUUUCUCAGGUUGCAGGACUCUGCAUUCUUACCUUUACCGUCAUUGUUUAUAGCCUGUUCCACACUUAUCCCUUCUGGUGCUGCUGUAAAGAUGAAGAGGAAUGUGCGAAAGAGGAGCUGGAGAACAUUUUAGAAGAAAAAACAUGGCAAUGUGUUCAAGAAUUGCAGAAUGAAAGUACAGAGCAGAUAAUGGAACAGGAAGUGAAACCUCUUCUCCAGAAUGUUCCUAAAAACUUCUGGAGAGAUGUAGAUUUUAAAACAAUAAUAUUAACAGUAAAGAAGAUUUUAAGGAAUGUGGUUAGCCAUAUAAAUAUUGAGACACAACAACCAAUGAGACCAUGUGCUUACAUUUAAAACGUGCCUCCAUCAUCAGGCCCUGCUGUGCACCGGUCCUGCAUUUGGCUGGGACAGAGUUAAUUUUCUUCCUGGCAUCCGAGAUGUUUCUGUGUUUUGGGUUUAGGGUGAGAAUAAUGCUGAUAGCACACCGAUGUUCGAGCUGCUGCAGAGCAGUGCUUACACCGAGCCAAGGACUUUUCAGCUUCUCACACUGCCCUACCAAUGGGGAGGUUGGGGUGCACAAGCAGCUUUGUGCAUCGCUUUAUUGAUAUAUUCUUUUAUUAGGCUGAUGAUGGUUAUUUUCCCUUCCUUUCCUGUCCUAUUAAACUGUCUUUAUCUCAAACCAUGUUUUUUUUAAAUAUGUUUUUUUUCUUUUGUGUGUGUAUGAAUGUGUUUCUCUUCCGCAUCUCACUGGCUUGGGGGAGACAGGGGUGAAGGGGAGGGGACAAAUGAACAACUGUGUGUUGCUUAGCUGGCUGCUGCGUUAAACCACAGGACAAAGUCAGAGAUGUUUACCCUUCAUGUAAUCAAAACCACCUCUUCAGUGCACACACCUAUUGGCACACACAUGCGAGCACAUCCCCGCAGCCAUACUUGUCCCUGUAGGUCCAAAUGUGCAUCCGUGCGGGUGGAUAGAAGAGCACCCCUGUGUCUUUAUCGCGCAGUUUAGGUAUACACGUCUUCCACCGAGCACAGGGAGAUGUUUUCACUCGGUAAAGAAACAUCGAUACGCUCACAGUAUGAUUUGGUAUACCUGAUUUAUUUCAGAGGUCGUAAGGUAUUGUAAAUAGAGGUGUGAGUCCUACCUCCUCUUGGCUAGACACACACAGCCCUUCCCUGUGACAGCAAACCCCAAAGAAGCCCAAAGUGCAUUGCCCAGACCCAUGUUACGGCUGCAGGAGCCCUCUGCAAGAGAGCAAAGGCAGCCGUGGGCAAGGCUCCUGUGCCCUUGCCCUGUGGCAGCGCUAUCGGGUCUGGGUGCGGGUCACCGUGGCAUACGUCGUGGUGUCGCUCAUCU
ensembl:lncRNA